CAAGAAGGAAUAUUGGGCUUUGCGAAUUACCCAUCGUGUGUUGGUAAACGGCGUGUGCUACAAUCUGCUUUGCCGAUUGCAAAACGUGAUCGGGAAACAGUUUGCCAGAAUAUACCCUGACCAUGGAAGACACCGCGUUCGCGAUUUUUAUCGCGGACGAAGCAGAUGCAAUUGAAAUACCCCUAUUUUUACAUGAAGUGGAGGACAAUCUUUUUAUCUAUUAUUAAAAUUAUUAAAAGUUGCUUUUAAUGCACAGUGGACCUAAUAACAAAUGUUUGUCGUUUUGCUAGGAACGUCCCUGGAAUCCGUAAUUUUGUUUCAGAAGUGGUCAAUUUGUAAACUCCUUCUGACUUUCAAUGUCAUUUCAGACUUUCCAAAAGGCACGUGGAGGAAAAACAACCUUGGUGUAAUGGACUACAGAUUCAGCGCUUGUGUCACUGCUAUCACUUGCAUUGCCAUCAUCACAGUUUUUCUGAUCUUUCUCUGCAAUCUUUUUCUGGGCUUCAGUGACAUUCUCGUAUUCUAUGUUGCAUGAGUUUUUAUUGUUUAAGUUCAAUGUUCCCUCUGAAAUAUUGAUGUAAUCCGUAUCCUUGCAACGGUAGUGGAGAGUCGUAUACCGUUGAGAGCUACAGGAAAUGUCUGCCAGCUGACAUCCAAACAAAACAAAAUCCAGGAAAAAACAAUACACGCGAAGGCCGAAGGAGUUGAGAUUGUAGUACGCCAUAUUCUGUCUCCUCUUUAUGUAAGGUCUUUCUGGAGACCACCGCCAUGCGCUCUUCUGAGGACCUGAAUUUAA